rnacentral:rRNA from 1 species
UGGGGAAUUUUGGACAAUGGGCGAAAGCCUGAUCCAGCAAUGCCGCGUGUGUGAAGAAGGCCUUCGGGUUGUAAAGCACUUUUGUCCGGAAAGAAAUCCUUGGCUCUAAUACAGUCGGGGGAUGACGGUACCGGAAGAAUAAGCACCGGCUAACUACGUGCCAGCAGCCGCGGUAAUACGUAGGGUGCAAGCGUUAAUCGGAAUUACUGGGCGUAAAGCGUGCGCAGGCGGUUUGCUAAGACCGAUGUGAAAUCCCCGGGCUCAACCUGGGAACUGCAUUGGUGACUGGCAGGCUAGAGUAUGGCAGAGGGGGGUAGAAUUCCACGUGUAGCAGUGAAAUGCGUAGAGAUGUGGAGGAAUACCGAUGGCGAAGGCAGCCCCCUGGGCCAAUACUGACGCUCAUGCACGAAAGCGUGGGGAGCAAACAGGAUUCAGAUACCCUGGUAGUCCACGCCCUAAACGAUGUCAACUAGUUGUUGGGGAUUCAUUUCCUUAGUAACGUAGCUAACGCGUGAAGUUGACCGCCUGGGGAGUACGGUCGCAAGAUUAAAACUCAAAUGAAUUGACGGGGUCAUAGCUGUUUCC